rnacentral:rRNA from 1 species
CGUGUGCAGCGGUGCCCUUCCUUCCUUCUGUUAACGUUUCUGAUAUUCAUUUAUUGGUCUCGGGCUCAGAUAUUUUACCUUGAGAAAAUUAUAGUGUUCCAGGCGGGCUUGCGCCCGAAUACAUUAUCAUGGAAUAAUAUAAUAGGACUUUAUUCUCCUUUGUCGGUUUGAGGGACUGAAAUAAUGAUAAAUAGGGAUAGUUGGGGGCAUUAUUAUUUAAUUGUGAGAGGUGAAAUUCUCGGAUUUGUUAAAAACUAACUUAUGCGAAAGCAUUUGCCAAGGAUGUUUUCAUUAAUCAAGAAAGAAAGUUAGGGGAUCAAAGACGAUCAGACACCGUCCUUGUUUUAACCAUAAACUAUGCCGACAAGGGAUGGGAGGCGCGCCUUAUCCCCUUUGGGCACCUUAUGAGAAAUCAAUGUCUUUGGGUUCUGGGGGGAGUAUGGUCGCAAGGCUGAAACUUAAAGGAAUUGACGGAAGGGCCCCCCCAGGAGGGGAGCUUGGGGCUCAAUUUGACUCAACACGGGAAAACUUCCCAGGUCCAGACAUAGUGAGGAUUGACACAUAGAUAGCUCUUUCUUGAUUCUAUGGGUGGUGGUGCAUGGCCGUUCUUAGUUGGUGGAGUGAUUUGUCUGGUUAAUUCCGUUAACGAACGCGACCUUAGCCUAAUAACUAGUCGACUCGUUUUGGAGCGGGCACGACUUCUUAGAGGGACUUUGU